ACAGUGACAGAAGACAUGCCAUUGCUGCGGGAAGAAACAGGUUUUCUCUCUUCAAAAUGUUGUACUUGACAUAAUUCAUUAAGCUCUCUUGCAGGAUGCAAUUUAAGUGUCUCUGGAGUAAUCAAAGGCUCCAAAAGUGGCUUUAUGCUCUGAAAGACCACCUCUUUGUCGUAUCCAGAAUCUACAAAAAUAGCUCCCGCUAGAGAUUCAAUCACAUCUCCAAGAACCUUGGGA
rnacentral:misc_RNA from 1 species